CUGGGCGUAGCGCAGGGGGUAGCGCACUUGAUUUGGGAUCAAGUGGUCGUGGGUUCAAAUCCCGCCGCUCAGACCA
rnacentral:tRNA from 1 species